UACAGAGGUCUCAAGCGUUGUUCGGAUUCAUUGGGCGUAAAGGGUGCGUAGGCGGCGCGAUAAGUUGGGCGUGAAAGGCCCGGGCUCAACCCGGGGACUGCGCUUGAUACUGUCGCGCUGUGAGUCCGGGAGAGGAUGGCGGAAUUCCCAGUGUAGAGGUGAAAUUCGUAGAUAUUGGGAAGAACACCGGUGGCGAAGGCGGCCAUCUGGACCGGCACUGACGCUGAGGCGCGAAAGCGUGGGGAGCAAACAGG
rnacentral:rRNA from 1 species